rnacentral:rRNA from 1 species
AGCGAACGCUGGCGGCAGGCUUAACACAUGCAAGUCGAGCGGGCACUUCGGUGUCAGCGGCAGACGGGUGAGUCACACGUGGGAACGUACCCUUCGGUUCGGAAUAACGCUGGGAAACUAGCGCUAAUACCGGAUACGCCCUUCUGGGGAAAGGUUUACUGCCGAAGGAUCGGCCCGCGUCUGAUUAGCUAGUUGGUGGGGUAAUGGCCUACCAAGGCGACGAUCAGUAGCUGGGCUGAGAGGAUGAUCAGCCACACUGGGACUGAGACACGGCCCAGACUCCUACGGGAGGCAGCAGUGGGGAAUAUUGGACAAUGGGCGCAAGCCUGAUCCAGCCAUGCCGCGUGAGUGAUGAAGGCCUUAGGGUUGUAAAGCUCUUUUGUCCGGGACGAUAAUGACGGUACCGGAAGAAUAAGCCCCGGCUAACUUCGUG